rnacentral:tRNA from 2 species
ACCAGGAUGGCCGAGUGGUUAAGGCGUUGGACUUAAGGUCCAAUGGAUGUAUAUCCGCGUGGGUUCAAACCCCACUCCUGGUA